CAUGGCACUCCUGCAGCCGUCAGUCCGUGCAGUGCGUGGCGAGCAAAAUCUCUUCAAGCGCGUGGGUUACCUCCUCGUCGGCUCUCUCUCUCUCGCUUCGUUUGCGCCUUUUUUCUCGAUCGAAUUCCUCUAGUGUCUUCGCGGGUGCGCGCUGCAUUCUCGGGUUGUCGGCAGCCGAUGCCUGGGGGGUGGACAACGAACCAACGCGUACGUCGGCAUCAGUAGGAUUGCGCGUUUGGGCUUGACCAUCACCCCACCUACACGCACCUGCUCAUACGCCCUCUAUUUCUAGCACAGCUGCAUCCUUUCUCCUUCUGCUUUGCUUUCCUACUCAAGUAUUCCACUGCUUCGUUAUUGGUCAUCGGUUCAACGUGACGCGUCGCACGCAUCAAGCUUCGCCCUCUUUGUGUUUUUGUGGUGGUGUUGCUCCAUCGCAUGUGUCUUGGAGGGUGCGCCAUAGGCAUACGGGGGCUCGGCCGACACACGCAUACAUACAUCCAUACAUCAUCUCCCUAGAAUAGAAAAAGCGCGUCCAUACGCAUUUAGCUGCUCCUUUCUCCGCCCUGCCCACGCGCACGCGCCGGCAUCAGCAGCAGCAGCACAGAAAGCGAGCAACGACCUUUUUUUCUUGUUUUGAUGUCGUCCUCUCACGAAUUCAUCACGAUGGACGGAGGGCCGGCGCCGAUUUCUCGACGGCGCGUGGCGACGCUGCACGUUCUUUUUUUUGCGCUCGCCACUAUCAGCGCUGUGAGCCUGCGAGCCCCGAUGUGGCUGAUUGGGGGCCUUGUUUACUGCAGUAAGCACCGCAGCGCACUCAUCGGUCAGCAUCUCUUUCCUUUGCGCCUCUGGCAAGUGUUACUUGCCUCCUUGGUGGCCUCGACAGUGUGCAGCCUUGUCGCAAACUUAGUCACAACGCUGCAGUACAACACAGCAUGGGUGCAAAAGGCCGUAUGGAGAACUCUCUACCCUCUUUGGGCUCUCCUCGGCGUCCAGCAGUGGGACGCUGCAGAUUACGUCAACACGAUCGUGUGGCCAUUAGCCACAGCCGUAGUCCUGGGGGCAUAUCUGUCAAUCCUGAAGCGCACUCUCGCCGGUCGCGUUCUCUCUCGUAAUGACGCCACGCGCACGGUGCAGGACAGGCCGGUACCUUCGAGCUUCCUUCCUCGCUGGGCAGGCGCGGCGCUCGCCGCUCAUCGCCCCGCAGCUGGGCCGUUGCUGUCCCUCUUUAGCUGGGCUGCUGCUUGGACCGCUGAGCCGAGUCUGGUCGGCUUGUGUCUAGAAGGUUUCACCUUUGUUUUUGCAGCAGCUUUCCUGUACGUCGAGCACCGCAUCCGGAAACCGCCGGACCGUGCGGUGCAGAGCGGGAAAGGGGCGCAGCGCCACAUUCCUCACGCAUUCGGAACCGCCGUCGCGGUGGUCCUUGUGUGUGUGUGUGUAACCCAGAACGGGGCCUUUUUCUUUUUCACGAAUGCGCACGGUGACUGGUGCAGGCUGCUCGGCAUGGGCCCCGCCGCCUUGGACACUGUUGCAGGUCUUCGCUACGCGAUGCAGAUGGUGGGCAUGGCAGGCGUCUUCCUCGGCGCAGCAUUCAUGUGCCACGGCACGGAAUCGUCAGAGAGCGCCUUACCUGAUAGUGGCGCCGAUGCGGCGGUGCCAGCUAGCGGAGAGGCCACUCGUCUGCUCGCUGCGAGGGAUCAGCCGGUGCUGGUCACGCCGGUGCCCGACGCUUUUUCGCCAUCGACGUCCGCACGUGGCGAAAGGUUGCCCAAUCGUCACCGACGAGCACCACAGGUGGUUGCCAUUGCUUGUAUCACGGCUCUCCUCGCGUACGCUGUCUACUACCCCAGUCUCGUCUCGACGGCAGUGUGGCUGCUCCACCUCUGCUGCUGCGCUGGCGGCCUGGUACAGAGUCCGAUGGCACUACCUUCGCCGCACCGUAUCGCCAUCGCUUGUGCACUGGCCGUGCUGUGCUGCACGAUUCUCGUACAGUAUGUGUUUCAAGCGUUGGCGGGCAAUCCGCGCACCGCGGCAUGGGGGCAGUGGUCACCAGCAAGGCCCGCAUACCCGGACGAUGGUCGUGCUGUCGGUGCGCAAGUUGUCGCGGAGCAUCUCAUCGCUCUCCUUUUUGGAGUAUACGUGAGUAUCGCAGGUGUGGACGGCACCGGCGGUGGCGGCAACAGCGCUCACGAGGGUGCGGAGCCCGCUGCGCCGUCGCGGUCGUCGCUUGUAAACCGCGUGGGGUUUUCUACCGAAGCCAACGCGCAUUUCACAGACUCUGUACAGGUUACGUGGCUGCGUGCACAGCUGAGCGACGCCGCGGCAGACCGAAAACAGAUGCGUUAUUUGUUUCAAGUCGCCGUGGGACGCUCGCCGCGCACCAUCGAGCUCAACGCCAUCUGCGCAGCUGCCGCGCAACAGUCAGGCGCCUCCUCGCCUGUCGCUUCGCGAGGGGGCCUCACGGUGGAGGAAGUGGCCCAGCUCCUCGUCAGUGGCCCCUUCUACACCUACGCUGUCAUCUUCUGUAUGUUUGUUCUCGGCACCAGCGGCGUCUCCAUGGACCUUCUCCAUGCCACGUGUCUGGUGGUGUCACUCUGCGUCAGCGUGAUCGGCGGCAACGCCAUGCUAUACCGACGGGUGCGCUCGGUGCCGCCGGUGUGUGUGGCCGUUGUUGUCGGUGUGCAGCUUUGCUAUGGCGUCUUUGCCGCCGGCGACGAAAAGCAGCGACAGCAGCAGCAGCAGCGUCAGCUCGUUCCCACGGGAACGCAGCCGUCUUUCCUCAAGGCCACUCUUUGCAACUACGUGGGCCUCACCUCCCUUACGUGGGAAGACUGUGCGCCGUACCUCUGCGCCCAGCUUGUGCUCAUGUGGUGCAGCCGGUACACGCCAAAGUGGCUCACCAACUGGACACACAUCGCGCAGUGCCUCGCGUUCCGCUGUAGCUGGGCACGCUUCAUCCGCACGGUGCACCAGGUCGCUGGCGUCGUGGCACUCGCGUGGAUCGCCCUGCUGCUGCCGAGGAGUGCAAGCGUCACGGGGCUUAUCCUUCUUCUCUUUACUGUGGCCCUCCUGCAGCACCUGCGGUUGCACAGACUCGCGUAUGUGUGGCGUCGCUUCUUCGUUGUGGGCUACUGCGGGGUGGUGCUCAUGUGCAUGCUGACAGCGGAGUUCGAGCCUGUGCAGCCGCGGCUCUGGCAACUCCUGCGCACACUCGGAUGCCCGCCAGGAUCGGAGGGGCGCUGCGCGCAGGACAUCGGCCUCCCCGCCGACUCCGCCAUGUGGCUCACACCGCUCUCCAUUCCUUGGUGGCUAAUCAUUGUGCUCGCGACGGCCACCGCGAGGCCACAUCCACUACCGAGCUCGCUGCCAUCCUCGCUGGCUGCAGCGCCCGCCACCGGUAUACCGGAGGCGUCGACGCCCUGGUUUUGGCGGGCACUUGUGUGGUGGCCGAAGGUGCUUUCCAAUGUGCUCUCCAUAGCUAUUCUCGCCGGCAUGGUCCACACUGCCUUGCAGCGGCCGAGCAUUCUGGCGGCGCUCUACUUGGUUGGCCCGGGACUCGGAGUCUUCCCUUGCUGGACCUUUGGCGUGGCUGCCGUGCACGCUGCACUGCAGUGUGUAUACCAGCUGUGGUUCUCGCCCGGCUGGCUCGAUGCGCAGACGCGGCUUGGCGUAUCUGCGGCACAGCUUCUCGGCCUUUGGAGGCCCUCGUCUGCGAUGGGCUCCGCCGCGAACCUUCCAUCUACGUUGGUCGUUGCUGCAGCUCCGUUGCUGGUUGGUGCCGCUCAAUUCCUGCAGCUGCAGUGCGCGUUGCUGGCUCGGUGGAGAGAGCGCAACACGGUGGCCACUUGUUCGGGACGGGGAAGGAUGUGGUGCCGGCUGCAGCGCACAUGCGCGACGCACCUCUACGUGCUGUUGCUCUGGGUACUGCUGUACCUCACCCAAAAAAUCGCCCUGGGCUGGGGGGUUGGUGUGCUGAUCACGGUGGUGUGGAUCUCGGCGGAAGUGCGAAGCUGCGGCGUGCUGCAGCGGCGACGCUGGCUCUUCGGUGCGUGCGGGUCGGCCACUGCUGUUCUGAUGGCGCUGGCCUACUUGCUGCACUGGCUACAUACAGUAUUCCCUUGGUGGAGUGCCCUUGCCAUGUACCCGUAUUUGUUUGGCGGCUCCACUAACGAAGACAAGGUGAUGGCGGAGCUGCAGAGCGUGUGCUGCGCUGCCGCCGCGGCGUGCGCGGUGCUCCGAGUCAGCAGCGGGGCGCCACGUGACAAAGAAAGCGAACAUCUCCUUCGCCAUAGCCACAGCCCGAGCUUCCUGGACUGGUUGCGGCGCCAUUCCCGGCAGCUGCGCGAGAACCGCGAAGACAUUUCCGCGUCGCUGUCUGAGAUGCCGCCUGACGAAAUACGUUACUUUUUCAGGGACGUCGCUGGCGUGUUUCACUGCGACGAAGAAGCCGCCGAGGGGGCUGACACGUCGCCCCUCUCGACAGGCCCAGCUCCGCCAAGCAAAGGCGGUGUCGUUGUGAGCGUAGCGCGCCGGGUGCCGCUGGUUGCAUGUGGCUCCGUCGCCGUCGGCUCUGCCACGGCGUCGCCUCCCUGUGUGCUACGUGCAGCGCUGCUUCUCGCUGGCCUGUGCUUGGCGGCGCGACACCCGCGUUUGCACUGGAGCUUUUGGCGGUGGUGGCGUCUGACCGUCGCCCUCUACGCCCUACUUCCGCUUAUCGCCUUGGUCGCUGCCUGCCCUUGCGUGCGCGACGCCAUACCAAAGCUGCCGCUCUGGAUGGGGCUGCUGAUUGGGUGGUCCGUGGAUGCCUCACACGUGGACGGAAAUGCGCUCGUUUUCUCCCACCGGCACGUCAUGCUUUUCUUGUGUCUGUGGCUGCAAAGUUGCGUGUACAACUGCCCACAGUCCGGCACGGCACUGCUGCGUCAGCAGGGCGAGGAGCGACUGCUAAGUGAGACGCGGCAUGCCGCCCUGCAGCGGCAGCUGCUGUCGCACAUGGCGAAUGCAACCGAGAAGGUGGUGCGUGUGGACCGGGAAGUAUGUUCGUACCUCGAUGCGCUGCGCGCCGGUGAUGACGUGGUUUUUACCUGUCAGGUAUGCUCACGGAGAAGCCCCGAUUACGUCGAGGAGGACGGUGACGAACACGACAGUGAUGCUGAGAGAGUGAGGGUGUCGAUGCCGUCGCCGCCGUCCAUGACGCCGGUGCUGGAGGCGGAGGAGGUGAACGAGGUGCUGGACGACGCAGGAGAGCUGCCGAGGCCUCUCCUGACGUUUCCCGCCGCAGACAGUAGGAGCAAUGCCCCGACACUGUCGUCCGACCAGGCGCAGCCACCCCUGUCGCGGUGCUGGCGGCAGCGGUGUGCGCGGUGGUUACGACGGAUAUGCGACAAGCUGGCAGCGUGCACCUACCACCCCUCCGAGUAUCGCCUCUCCGCUGUCGCCGCUGACUCCUCCACGUCGACACUUUGGCUACUCAGCCAGUACGCCCUGCGCGCCGCGGUGCAAGUGGUGCUGCGGCACACCCCUUUCGCCCUGCUUGGCUGCUCAGUCGUGAACUCACUCCUCACUGGCUGCUUAUGGGAGCUCAUUGGGCUGUGCUACGUGGUGCAGGUGGCCCUUGCCUACCACCCCCACCCCCCACGCUUGGUGUACAAGGCGCUUGGGGUGUAUGUCGGGGCGGGGGUACUACUGAAGGAGGCGGCCUCGAUGUGGACAAUUUUCGGCAACACGAACUCUUCCCUCAUCACCGCACUCUCUUGGAUACUGCUGCCGUUAAAGGGACAGGAUCGCAGCAGCAGUAACAGCAAUCAGGUGUGGGCCAAUGUGCCUUACUCGCGCGGCCCCCUUCGCUACGGCACGCUUUGGAUGGAUCUGGUGACGAUAGGGGUGAUCGUGCUACACGAUCGUGUGUGCAUCAUUCACGGCGUUCAUGUAGAGCGGGAUCAGCAGCAAAGCAUGGAGCGCGACAGAUCCGACGUGACGGCCAUGCUAGAAGGCCCGGCGUCGUCGGCUGGAGGCGCGUCGCUGUCCACCAGCGUCACAGCAGCGACGACAGUUUCACCUUCAGCAUCUUUUCUCCUCUUGACGCCGAUUUCGCAUGGCACUAGCAUCAUCAGCGCCUUUCGCGCCUUGGUGGCCGACUAUUCCCAAAACCUCCUCACUGUGCCGGGUGUUGGCGAGGACUGGUACAUCUCCUACACCUCCGUCGACUCGCUGGCGCUGCUCAUCGUCGCCGUCUACUACAGUCGCAUAGCCGGCAACAACAAUGGAACGCUGCAGGACAACGUGCAGAAUAACCUGCUCCCUGGUCCGAUGGCGUUGCUGAUAUGCGUGAGCGUACUGCAGCUUGUCAUGGACCGCAUGCUGUACGUGCAGCGCUCCAUGCGUCUGAAGGCGAUCGCCAACGGCGUGUGCGCCAUCUCGUACACCCUUUUUUACUGGUGGUGGCGGAACGCGGUGACGGUGUCGGAGCACGCCACCGGAAACGUGUACUUCGCCCUCAAAGUUGUGGCUCUUGUGCUCUCGGUGACGCAAGUGUGCCGCGGCUUCCCAGUGCACCGCCGCCGCCACAUCUUCACGACCCACUUAGGCAGCCUCCUCAGCUACAGCUUCACGGUUUAUCGCUCGCUUCCAUUUCUCUGGGAGCUGCGUACGCUGGUGGACUGGACAGUGUUGCGGACGUCGCUGAGUCUUCAGGAGUACCUGACCGUGGAGGACAUCUACGUGUACGUAUACCAGUGCCGGGAUCGCUACCUGGAAAAGCACCGCAACAACGAAAAGCUUGGUGACGCGGUGGCGCCGCUCUCCAAGUGGGCAUUUGGUGUGAGCCGCCUCGCCCUUGUCCUGUUGGCCCUGUUGGGGCCUCUGCUCUACUACUCCACCUACAACCCGUCCACCGUGGCAAACAGCGCCACGCAGCUCAAUUUUCAGCUCUCCUUCUUUGGCGCCUACGACUUCUUCGCAACCACGGUGCGCGACAACGUCACGACGCCAGAGGGAUGGUGGACGUGGAUUGAACGGACCCGCCCCACGCUAGGCUCGUAUGGCUUCAUGGCCGAGGGGAAGACUGUGCAGCUGAUGGAGUUCACGUCAUGCAGUAGCAGCUUAUGGAUGGCCAGCCCGCAGGCCGUUCGCCAGGUACUGGCCGGCCUCCGCGCGGUAGCGUCAAACGCGUCCAGCGCAUACAUGCUGCAGACGCUGGAGGUUUCUCGCAGCGUGAGCAGCACGGACGCUGCUGCGGCGGCGUCGCUGGUGAACCGCUGGCCGAUUCCCUGGGACACCGCGCAGGACCUGGUCGCCAUCCUGGAGCGAGAAACCAGCGGCACCAGAGGGGCAGCAGUGGAGGACUCUGAGAACAGCAGUAGCAGUAGCAGCAGCAGCAGCAGCAUCGUGGUCGGCUCUGCUUCUCUGCCCUUCUUCUACAGCCCAUUUGUCUUCAACCGCGCCAGUCGGAUCGACGGACUUCCGACGAGCCUGCGCUUCCCCCACCGCAACCAGCACAACUGCACGCUCGAGCUGAACCACAACACGGAUGUCGCUCUCAACUCACUGGUGCGCUACUGGUGCCUGCACUGCGCACCACUCUUCCCAGAGGGCAACAUCCCGUCUGAGAACUCGAGCAGCGCGGCCGAGUGGCGGUGUCUGACGACAGGUGAGGGGUGUGACGACUUCAACUACGAGGACGCCACCGGCGGUAGUGGCAGCCGCACCGUGCGGGCGUCACUCGCCGCACAAAUGAAUAGCCGCGUGGCGGCGAAGCAGGUGCCCAUGUACAUGGUCAUCAUCUCCGGCACGGUGGUCAUGGGCAUCUCUUUGCUGAAAGGCAUCGGCAUCGUAGCCCUCUACACCACGUUUGUCUUGGCCCUUGGUCGGCUGCUGCGUUCCGUGCUGACAAAUCAAACGAGCACCCUGCUCUACUCUAACAUGGCCAACCCGGCCGCCCUGCAGAACAUGGUGCGGUGCAUGGAGAUGGCUCGAGAGUAUGGCGACCUGCGGCUUGAGCACACCAUAUACCUCGAGCUUGUGGACCUGCUGCGGUCAGCGGAGCGACUGUUCCGUGUAACAGGGCCGCUGCGCUGCAUGUACGGGGAUGCGGGCCAUGAAGACUUGUUCGGGCUGGGUCAGGUGCGGCGCCGAAAUAUUCGUCGUAAUCCAUCAGUCGAGGCACACGACGGAGAGGCCGGCGAGGGGCAUGGCGACAGUGGCGUGCCCGCAGCUGUGCCGCACCCGGCGCAAGGUGGCUAGCGAAGGUUGGCGCUGAAGGCGGAACAAGGGGUAGGAGGGGAAGGCUCCUGUAGGUUCAAGAGGGGGAAAGCGCAUUGAAGAGGCGCCACGCGUAGACUUGCGCAGCACACCGACGGUCGAUCUUUCUCCUUGUCCUUUUCCUUUUUGUUGCCGUCCUUUCCUAUCCCCGUUUGUCUCUUCCCGUACACCGGAGAAGUACACCCUCCCCCUCCCCACCCCUGGACAGCGUGCACUUCGAUAGAGUGGCUCGACCGCCAGGGUCGCCAGGCGUCUUGUUUGAUGUGCUCUGCGCAGGUGCCGGGAAUCAAUGCACACCUGAAAGAAGGCUGGAUCCAUCGCAACGCAGAUGGCGAUUCCGGAGGCGCUCGUGCUCCUCAGCGGGGAAGGGGGAGGGGGAGGAUGUGCGGCAUGCGCACAGAUGUGCAUCUCCGCCUACGGCACCGCUUCUUUUCGUUGCGGUUCUGAUUUCUUUCUUUUUGCGUUUUGCUUGUUUCUCUUCAGUGCUCUCUGUCUAUGACUGUCUCUCUCUUCCUCUCCGCUCGCUACUUGCUUGUGUAUGCUUAUGUUUAUAUGUGGGUAUGGGUCUGUGUAUGUGCUUAUCUGCUCGCUCGCUUUUUUUUGUGGCCUCCUCUCCGUAGCUAGUGGCCGCUACAGCUGCUUUCCG
rnacentral:misc_RNA from 1 species